CCUGUCUGGUUGAAAAGUCCUGAAAACUAAUUCACAGCAAGCUGUCAAUGAUUGAUAAGGUUUGAUGGAAUACAUCUUCCUGGGAUCUUUGCAUAUCAACCAGGGACAGUGUCCUGACUCAAAAUAAAGGGUAGCCACCACAGGCCCACAGGCUAAAAUUGAGCUGGAUGGAGUAAGUGGCAACAGAGAGUCUUUAUUGUCCCCUAAGAGCCCUGGCCCUUGUAGGACAUGUGAAUGCCAUUGCUGAUGGAGAAAGGUGGAGGAAGACAGCCAGAGCGCAGUUCACCUUUGGGAGAACAGACCAGAGUGGCUUCCGUGGGCACAUGCUGGAUUGAAGUGAGAAGAUGUGACUACUAAAGUUGAGGCCCCAAGUCUCAGCUCCUUCCCCCUCCGAAGCAUGAGUGGAGGAUCCACUUAAGGCCACUUUGGUGAGACUAGAUCAACUCUUCUCAAAACUACUUCAUUCCUUUGGAAUAAAAUCUUGACUUUAGACUUUCCCAAUACUCCUUAUGGUAUUGCAGUGGCCAGGAACUGUAUUCUGUACUCAGGACAGCUGAGACACUCUGGCAUCAAGACCUAGCUCCCAGGAGGAUUGGCCCCUCAAAAAUCAGUCUUUUGAAGGAUAAGUCAUUUUCAUCACUAGGGGGAAUGAAAGACCACAAGGACUCCCUUGAUCUUCCUCCCAGGGGGUUCAUAAUUCCAUAGGCUAAGACUCUGAAUUAUGUGUUUUGGGGGAACAUUGUGCUCUGUCUGAUUGAAUGUGUGAUUCAUUUGACACUGAGAAUAAAACCAGGUUGAAUAAUAAGAAAAUACAAGCCUCAGAGGAUUUGAGGUAAAGCCUUGAAAUCAUUGUUGAAUCAUAAAUUAACACCCAUAACAAGAGUAAAAAUUUACCCUGAAUUUAGGACACCCUGUUUUUAUUUUUUUCAACUGAGUUUAAAUGCUUUCCAUAAAUCCCAGAUAUUUGGGGGCUGUAAAGAUGAUUAAACACCUAAAAUGCAGUUCCCUUGGACAUAAGAAGAAAAAUAUUAAGCACUUUCUUAAACAAAGUCCAUGAGUGAGGACUGAGUUAUGGUUUCUUUGAAUAGUGAGGCUAUGCCUUCCCUACUGAGGUCAAAAGGAAAUGAAGAGAAAGGAAAUCAAUUGGAAAAUGACUCUUAUGCUUGAAUCAUUAUUUUCUUCUUCCAUCAGGCACCUGCUAUUGGUUUUUAUAAGUAAUAGUAAAGUGAUUAAAAACAUACUGAAACCUUGACACAGAGUCUAGGGGAGGGGGCCUGAGCAAAAGAGUCCUUGCUCCUUCAUAAUCCUGCCUCCUUGGUGUCCCUGUCCCUCAUUUUCAUCCAUCUUUUGAGCAUGACUCAUGCCCUAAUGCUGCCCUGAUGCUAAAGCAUUUAUAUGGUGAUUUGUCUUUCAAGAGAGUUUGUGCCUAGCCUUGCAAACAAACUACCAGCCCUUCUCACAAACACUGAACUAUGCCAUCCCCAGUGCCCAGAAAAAAUGUACUGAUGUUUCUCCCACUUGCUAUAAAUGAGUGCUUGCCUCUUGAUAUCUUUAGCCUUAGUCAAGUGGUGGUCAAGUCAAUUAGCACUGAGCACCACUUCUCGGAUCCUACCAUUUGAUGUGUUAGGUAGGGGAGUGGCAGGCUAGCCAGUGCACCCCCAGAGAUUGGGGACAGAGGCUGCUUAUUCAUAGGCUCUGCUAUCUCCAUUUUCUAAAGAUAAUAAUUUACCCAAGGCCGGGCGCGGUGGCUCAAGCCUGUAAUCCUAGCACUUUGGGAGGCCGAGGUGGGCGGAUCACGAGGUCAGGAGUUCGAGACCAUUCUGGCCAACACAGUGAAACCCUGUCUCUACUAAAAAUACAAAAAAAUUAGCAGGGCGUGGUGGUGGGCGCCUGUAGUCCCAGCUACUCGGGAGGCUGAGGCAGGAGAAUGGCGUGAACCCGGGAGGUGGAGCUUGCAGUGAGCCGAGAUGGUGCCACUGCACUCCAGCCUGGGGGACAGAGCCAGACUCUGACUCAAAAAAAAAAAAAAA